AACUGUACAACCCUUCACAGUGCUGACUACUUGAUAGCAGAGGUGGUUCAUGUUGGUUCAGGAUUUGGUUUGAAGCUGUUACGUGAAAAGAACAUUCUGAGGAACGAGAGGUUGUAUUGUCACUUGUCAACAAAGUGGCAGAGUAUUGCUAUAACAUUUAUAGCCAAAGCUGUUCCAGUUGCCUCAGUGUGUCAUGUCCAUUGUGUACUGACAGUCACCUUUGUCAUGUCUACGCUAGUGGAGGAGAGGGAGGAACAAACCUUGAAUCUUCCAAGUUUAGAGUUUUUAGCAAAGGUUUGAGCGAAGAGUUCAGGUUUAGAGAUAGAUGUGAUAGCAGUGGUGCCAUCUGGUUGAAAUAAAAAAAGGAAAGGAGGAGAAGCAAAGUUAUUAUAGAUGUUUUUGGCUAAGUGCCAGAGGUCACGAGGGAGAGUUAGAUCUUGAAAGGUUUUGACACUUUCUGUUAAUGAAGGAGUUUUUUUUUUUUGGCUAAUUGGAGAACAGACUUGGCAUGGCAGAAAUGUAAAGUGCAUUAGAUUCUGGUGAUGGAAGAAGGCUUAAGCACCUUUGGUGGGCCACCUCUCUAUCAUGUAUAGCACGAGAACAAGCUAUGUUAAACCAAGUUUAACUUUGGAAGGUUUAGGUCGAGAAAAAGAGUGAGGAAUGUACGCCUCCAUGCCAGACACUAUCACCUCUGUUAUGCGCUCAGCCCACAAAGACGGGUCUCUGACACGGAAGCAGUAGUCAUUUUCCAAGGAAAAUCAGCAAAAUACCUCCUCAUGUUCCCCCAACUAGCACAGGCAAAACGCCAGUGGCACCUUCCUUUAGGGGGAUCAUGAGGAGGGAUUGGAGCGAUAGGACAAGAUACAGAUAUGAGAUUGUGAUCGGAGGAGCCCAACGGAGAAGAAAGGGUGACAGCAUAAGCAGAAGGAUUAGAGGUCAGGAAAAAAUCAAGAAUGUUGGGCCUAUCUUCAAGACGGUCAGGAAUACGAGUAAGGUGUUGCACCAAUUGCUUUAGGUCGUGGAGAAUAGCAAAGUCUAAGGCUAGUUCACCAGGAUUGGUCAGUGAAGGGAGAGGAAAGCCAAAGCUGGUGGUGAACAUUGAAGUCAGUCUCCAAGAUUUGAAGUCUCUACAAAAGGGAAGAGAGUCAAUGUGCUCCACUUUGGAAGUUAAGUAGUCAAAAAAUUUUUCAUAGUCAGAGGAGUUAUUUGAGAGGUAUACAGCACAGAUAAAUUUAGUUUGAGAGUGACUCUGUUGUCGUACCCAGGUGGUGGAAAACUCGGAAGAUUCAAGAGAGUGGAAAGCAGGUUAAGUCAUUGCGCACAUGAACACAGCAUCCAGCUUUGGAUCGAAAAUGAGGAUAGAGAAAGUAGGAGGGAACAGAAAAGGGGCUACUGUCAGUUGCCUCAGACAUCUGAGUUUCAGUGACGAAAGGAUGAUGAAGCUUAAUAGAGGAGAGGCAGUGUUCUACAGAUUGAACGCGAAUGUUGCAGAAGUUUAUGAAGAAAAACUGAGAGGGGUAUCAAGACAUUUAGGGUCGUUACCAGAAGAGCAGUCUGACCCGGGGACAAUUGUGGUCCGCUCACCAGAUGGGGUCUCCGAGGCUGGUGUAGGAGUAUGUGUGUAAUAAUUAGGUGCUGGUAGUUGUUUUGUGUGCAGGAAGAGAGAUAUCUCCAUGACUAUAACGUUUGGUACGAUUGAAAACAUCCUUUGGUUUCCACAGAUAUGUACACACUAGUAGUAACAGUUUUCACCUGUAGCACCAGAAACAGUCUUCCUCACACGAACCGUUUCACUGCCGGGACUUGAAGGCUGAUGAAGCAGUGCGGCGGAGGUCACGCCUCUCAGAGUGUUUAUACUUGUUGUCAACACCGCCAUAACUAAUACAAACUCUUUAGUGCAGACAGGCCCACUGGAAGCUGUCAGAGUGCUGUGGCACGUGGCAAGAACCAAGUGUUCAGGAGCACACACUGUCCCUUCACCAGUCAGCAGGUCUGGGCGGCUUGGAAGUCUCACUACAAACUGAAGACCCGUUCACUUGAAGGACACAGUUGGAGUCGGACACAAGAUCCAAGAGGGAGUCAUUUUUAAACGAGAGCUUCAGGCAGAAAAUUCGAGUGGAUUUUCAACUCUAAAAAUAACUUAAUUUUUUUGGGUAUUUUGAACCUUCUUUAUCUUGAAAAAUAACUCCAGAUAUUAUGACUCUAGCUGGAAAUUGACCUGAGCAAUGUAGGGUUUGCUGCAGUGAGAUUACCAAGGCACGAGUGUCUGGGAUUUAAAGAUGAUGGAUAUGUGUCCUGUGUGCUGCUGUGCUGGGAGGAGAGGAGCAGCAGCAGUCGUGGGGCUCUGCUGCUGCUGUCACUGGUGCAGCUGUUCACUCCUGCAGCUACCUUCCCUCAACAUACUGUGUCUUCCCUCACCUGCAAUGAACAACUAUGAACAAUACUUCUCCUCCGAUGAGGAACAGUGAAUAACACCUCUCUCUCUCUCUCUCUCUCUCUCUCUCUCUCUCUCUCUCUCUCUCUCUCUCUCUCUCUCUCUCUCUCUCUCUCUCUCUCUCUCUCUCUCU